UUACGGCCACAUCACGUUAAAACACCGGUUCACGUCGAUUACAUAAGUUAAGCAACGUCGAGCCUAGUCAAUACCUUGUUGAGUGAGCUCUUGGGAAUACCAGGCGCUGUAAG